AGUGAACGCUGGCGGUAGGCCUAACACAUGCAAGUCGAACGGCAGCACAGUAAGAGCUUGCUCUUACGGGUGGCGAGUGGCGGACGGGUGAGGAAUACAUCGGAAUCUACUUUUUCGUGGGGGCGAACGUAGGGAAACUUACGCUAAUACCGCAUACGACCUACGGGUGAAAGCAGGGGAUCUUCGGACCUUGCGCGAUUGAAUGAGCCGAUGUCGGAUUAGCUAGUUGGCGGGGUAAAGGCCCACCAAGGCGACGAUCCGUAGCUGGUCUGAGAGGAUGAUCAGCCACACUGGAACUGAGACACGGUCCAGACUCCUACGGGAGGCAGCAGUGGGGAAUAUUGGACAAUGGGCGAAAGCCUGAUCCAGCCAUACCGCGUGGGUGAAGAAGGCCUUCGGGUUGUAAAGCCCUUUUGUUGGGAAAGAAAAGCAGCAGGUUAAUACCCCGCUGUUCUGACGGUACCCAAAGAAUAAGCACCGGCUAACUUCGUG
rnacentral:rRNA from 1 species